AUGANCCGGCGGCAGGCUACAGCAUGCAGUCGAGCGGUAGAGAGAAGCUUGCUUCUCUUGAGAGCGGCGGACGGGUGAGUAAUGCCUAGGAAUCUGCCUGGUAGUGGGGGAUAACGCUCGGAAACGGACGCUAAUACCGCAUACGUCCUACGGGAGAAAGCAGGGGACCUUCGGGCCUUGCGCUAUCAGAUGAGCCUAGGUCGGAUUAGCUAGUUGGUGAGGUAAUGGCUCACCAAGGCGACGAUCCGUAACUGGUCUGAGAGGAUGAUCAGUCACACUGGAACUGAGACACGGUCCAGACUCCUACGGGAGGCAGCAGUGGGGAAUAUUGGACAAUGGGCGAAAGCCUGAUCCAGCCAUGCCGCGUGUGUGAAGAAGGUCUUCGGAUUGUAAAGCACUUUAAGUUGGGAGGAAGGGCAGUAAAUUAAUACUUUGCUGUUUUGACGUUACCGACAGAAUAAGCACCGGCUAACUCUGUGCCAGCAGCCGCGGUAAUACAGAGGGUGCAAGCGUUAAUCGGAAUUACUGGGCGUAAAGCGCGCGUAGGUGGUUCUGGNCAAGNUGGAUGUGAAAAUUCACCGGGAUCACAGCCUGGGAACUGCAUUCACAACUGANAAGUACGANAGUAUGGUAAAGA
rnacentral:rRNA from 1 species